AGUUGCUCCCUGGGAGCAGGGUUUGGAGCGGGUAUACCCAGAGCAAGGAAGGGAACCAGGAGUUGUAGAAAGCAGUCCAGGGAAGGAAUAGCGAUGGCUGAGAGAGGAAAGCCCAGAACUGCUGGGUGCAGGAUCCUCGGAUUGGAACUUAGAGUAAUGGGUGGGCCUGGGUUGCCUGUCUGCCACUGAGGGAAUAGUAUAUAGACCAACUGUGCAGGGAAUUAGAAGAAUGCCUGGGUCAUUGUGGGAGUUGUGGAGAAUUUGAAGGACUUGUAUCCUGGAAGGGGGAAAAUGCUGAUUGACCUAGCUGGAGAGCUGGGUCAUGAAGAAGACACUGGUUCCUGGACAAAAGAGGAGCUGAAGAUCUAUGAUAGCAUGUGAUCAUGGGAAGGCAUGUUUACCUGGAGAGCUAAUCCCCGGAGUGACCAGGAGGAGGUGCCAGACAAGCGGUUGGUUAUCCUCUGCCUGUCAUUGGGCUGACGUCAUAAACAGAAAACCAAGCCACGAUACCUGCAGUGGUGAGACCCCAAGGACAGGAUCUUUAUCAACGGCUGAGCAGCAGGCCAACCUGAGGUGGAAGAAUCAGAGGUCCAAAGAAGAGAUAAUUGGAGCCCUCCUCACAGAAUCAAGGAAAAACUACUGAGAACAGGAGAGUAUUUUGGAUAUCUGAGAGAAGAAAGGCUGCUAUCUAGAGACAACACUGAACUGGCCCAAGACAGCAUUGCAUGACCAAAGGCACUUUAGAGGAAGACAGAGACAUGCAGAAGCAUCUCCUGGAGGCAAUGAACAGGCGGAACAUGCUGCUAAUAUGCCAGCAGACAAUGCAGUACGUUCAGCCAAGACCCAGCUAUACUCUGCAGCUCCUGGAGUAUAGAGUACUGAGAACACCAGCAGAUAUUCCUGCUAUAGCUCCAACUGCCCAGCAAGGGGCAGCAAGAACACCACCACGUGGGAGCCCACCAUUUUUGAGCUAUCCAAUGUAUCUUGCAAUUUUGAACCCCGACAUACAAUCCCAGAAGGCAGAAGCAGCAAUGGCAAAAUGUAAGGCUGCUUGUGAACAUGAGUCUCCUCUCCUCCCCCUCACUGUGUGUAUGUUGCCCCUUCCACUUCACUAUAUGUGAAUAUCACCCUUGUUCACUCUUUAGCUGUGUCUCCAUGUUUAACAUUUUUACUCGCAAUGAUUUUUUUUUUCAAAGUUUUAUUUUUAAUAU